UACGUAGGUUGCGAGCGUUAUCCGGAUUUACUGGGCGUAAAGCGCACCGAGGUGGCUUCUUAAGUCGGAUGUAAAAUCUCCUGGCUCAACUGGGAGGCGCCAUUCGAAACUGGGAAGCUUGAGUCCAGCAGGGGAAAGUGGAAUUCCCGGUGUAGUGGUGGAAUGCGUAGAGAUCGGGAGGAACACCAGUGGCGAAAGCGGCUUUCUGGGCUGCGACUGACACUCUAGUGCGAAAGCGUGGGGAG
rnacentral:rRNA from 1 species